rnacentral:rRNA from 1 species
GAUGAACGCCGGCGGCGUGCCUAAUACGUGCAAGUCGAACGCGCAGCGAGAGGUGCUUGCACCUUUCAAGCGAGUGGCGAACGGGUGAGUAACACGUGGAUAACCUGCCUCAAGGCUGGGGAUAACAUUUGGAAACAGAUGCUAAUACCGAAUAAAACUUAGUAUCGCAUGAUAUCAAGUUAAAAGGCGCUACGGCGUCACCUAGAGAUGGAUCCGCGGUGCAUUAGUUAGUUGGUGGGGUAAAGGCUUACCAAGACGAUGAUGCAUAGCCGAGUUGAGAGACGGAUCGGCCACAUUGGGACUGAGACACGGCCCAAACUCCUACGGGAGGCUGCAGUAGGGAAUCUUCCAAAAUGGGCGCAAGCCUGAUGGAGCAACGCCGCGUGUGUGAUGAAGGCUUUCGGGUCGUAAAGCACUGUUGUAUGGGAAGAAAUGCUAAAAUAGGGAAUGAUUUUAGUUUGACGGUACCAUACCAGAAAGGGACGGCUAAAUACGUGCCAGCCGCCGCAGUAA